UGUGAAGCUUCUAUAUUAAUGUCAGACUAGUCCCUUCUGAAACACGAGUUUUUUCUCAAAAUUAGUCCCAUUACUAAGAGAAUAUCAAGGUGGAUUCAGGAGAAAGCUGUCAUGGACAAUGCAAGUGCAUCGACUAUGCACUUUCCUAUGAGCAUCAAUCAAAUUGAGCUUCUGAAUGGCUCAAACUUUAAGAAAUGGAAAGGGGACAUAGAACUGAAUCUGGGGAUAUU
rnacentral:lncRNA from 1 species